rnacentral:lncRNA from 1 species
ACCAGGAAGUAAGAAGUGUUGGAAACUUCAGCAGGUAUAUUUGGAGUACAACGACCCAGCAUAGCAUGAACUUCCUACAUCAAUAAAAUGAAAGUGCCAAUGAACUUUGGAUGAAACCAUUCCCAACCAGAGAGGGGAGUUUCUAUUCCAAACCAAGCAUGCCUCUUAAAGACACAGGCCAUGCUCACUACAGUUGAGUCUGGAGCUUCCUUCUCUUCCUGGCUCACAGAGCAAGACUUAAACACUGAGUCCGCAGGGGAUGUGUUUUCUCCCCCCCCCCCACCUCCACAAUUCAUAGAUGGGGAGGAGUUUCAAUCUUGCUGGGAAGGGCACUUGUGAAGGAGCAUUUUGCAGCCCUCCAGACCAAAUCUGCUGCUCACCAGCUGUUUUUCAAAGACUCAGCUCUGCUCAGAUCUGCUUCCCCAGCGCAUUCCCUACAGAGGCUUAGGGGUUGGUGAAACAGGCCCCUGCUAGUGGUGCAAAAAUCAUGUAGCAGACUAUGGAGUGGAUGACAUAUACCGUAUUUUUCCAUGUAUUAGACAAAGUUUUUGUCCUCAAAACUAACGUUUAAAAAUGGGGGAGGUCCAUGUUGCUUCCGCUAGGCUAAGGUGGUCAGCUGUAUUAUUGGUGGCUGCAACAAGUGCUGGUGUGGAUUUGCUGUCAAUACGACUUCUGGCAGUGAGGCAACAGCUGAUAGGGAAAAGCUCCACAACUCUGGGCAAUCUCCCCCCAUUUUCUUAAGUUUGAGUCCCCCCAAAUAGGGGGUGUCUUAUACAUGGGGCCAUGUUAUACACGGAAUGUGUCUGGUGACAUGAAGCCACUGUUUCUGUCAGUUCAUAUGUGAAAGAAGCUUACCGUCCUCACACUGCAGGAUAAAGGCAAAUUUUUUUGGGGGGGUGCACGAUAAAGCUCCUUUCCAAGGGCACAAGGGACCCCAGUGUGUAGUGAAAUAAAUAAAUAUUUAUUUAUUUAUUUAUUUAUUUAUUUAUUUAUUUAUUUAUUUAAUAUUUAUUAAGGUUUCAAAAAAAAGGUAGUGAAAUAAAUAUUUAAUUGCCUCCCCAAGGGGUCCCUGCCUCAGAAGGAGGACCAGGACCUCGGAAGGAGCACAAUUGAAGGCUCUGUACCAGCUGGGAAAAGACGACCACACCAGGAUUUGGAAAAAGCAAAGCCUGAUCUUUAUUAAAAGAACAGGGGGGAAAAACACACACACAAAAAACUGUUGUAACAGGGUCCCCGCUCAUGCAAUGACAAGGAGUCAGAGAGCCCAAACAAAAGGACUACCUUGAUUCUUAUACCUUUUGAUUUUCAUCCAGAUCAAUAGCAGAGGAGGUGGCGGGAAGCGACAUGAGAGGUGCGAAGAGUGGAUUAACAUAAGGUAAAUAGGAUGUUGAAAGACUUACGGGAGGUGUCAAUUUGCUGAAGGCUCAGGUGAUAUGUGUCGAUCUUCGUGUUAUUUAAUUUUUGGAUCUGCUUAAAUGGCUUUUCCUUUACAGGAUAAUCAGUAUGCAGAUCGUGAGGCUGGAUGUUCAGGAAGAUGUUCAGGAAAUGGCUUAAAUGUUAAUGUGAAAUCCUAUUCUGCAUUGCUAUCAAUUCGAGUGUGAUAGCCUGAUGUUUGCAUACUUUUUUGAAAAUAAAACUACAGUGGUACCUCGCAAGACGAAUGCCUCGCAAGACAAAAAACUCGCUAGACGAAAGGGUUUUUUGUUUUGUGAGCUGCUUCGCAAGACGGAAACAUCUUGCAAGUUUGUUUCCUUUUUCUUAACACCGCUAAUACAGUUGCGACUUGACUUCGAGGAGCAACUCAUAGAACGCGAUGUGGUAGCCUUUUUUGAGGUUUUUAAAGACUUUGGUGAUUUUUGAAGCUUUUCCAAAACUUUCCCGACACCGUGCUUCGCAAGACGAAAAAAAUUGCAAGACGACAAAACUCGUGGAACGAAUUAAUUUCGUCUUGCGAGGCACCACUGUACUUUAUUUUGAGCUCUUAUCUGUGUGUAUUCAUGGUAUCGUUUGUAGACCCAGUAGGUGGCAGUGUGGUGGAGAGUCUUG